rnacentral:rRNA from 1 species
AUACGAAAGGUGCAAGCGUUGUUCGGAUUUACUGGGUGUAAAGAGAGUGUAGGUUGUUUAUUAAGUCGGAUGUGAAAUCCCGGGGCUCAACCUCGGAACUGCAUUCGAUACUGGUAGACUAGAGUUCGGGAGGGGUAAGCGGAAUUCCGUGUGUAGCAGUGAAAUGCGUAGAUAUACGGAGGAACACCUGAGGCGAAGGCGGCUUACUGGACCGAUACUGACACUGAGACUCGAAAGCGUGGGUAGCAAACAGGAUUAGAAACCCUAGUAGUCC